GCCAAAGCAUUAGAACAAAACAACACAUUGCGAGUAGUCAAUGUUGAAACCAACUUUAUAUCUCCACCUGUGAUUGUUACAUUGGUUAAAUCACUGCUGAAAACUAAGAGUGUGGAGGAAUUCAGAGCAUCUAACCAAAGGGCAUCUGUUCUUGGCAAUAAGAUAGAGAUGGAAAUUACAGAUUUAGUUGAGAAAAAUCCAACACUACUUCGUCUUGGUCUCCACUUGGAAUACAAUGAUGCUAGGCAUCGCAUUUCAGCACAUUUGCAAAGGAACAUUGACAGGAACCUCUUCCACAACAACCAAAACUACUAUGACGACUCCAGCAAAAUUGUAUGGAAAAGAUCUGAGUGAAUACGAUGAAAUUGAUGUAGACACACUUUUAUCACAACUAUCACCUGAAGAGAUAAAUAUAUUAGCGAAAGAAGUAGAUCCAGAUGACUCAUUCUUGCCACCAAGUCAAAGAUGCAGUUAUGAGUGUGAGAAAGAAGCAACUGGACCACUAAAUCGCCAAAAAUUAAUUGACCACAUCAAUAAACAAGCUCUAGAAACUCCAGAUAUUCCCGAACUGAAACCCUAUGUGGCUGGUACCAUAAGAGGGAAAAAGUGGAUACCACCUCCUGAAAGUGCUAAAGUAAAGGAAAUUGAAGAAGAAAUUGCUAUUGACUUAGGUGAUGAAUAUGAGACCGCCUUAUCUGAUGCCACUCAAGAAGAAAUUAUUGAUUUAGCUGCUAUCUUGGGCUUCCACUCUAUGAUGAAUCAAGAUCAAUACCAUGCUUCUUUACUGAAUAAAGGCCAACCUCUUGGAAUGGGUUGGGAUGGUAUAACAAAAGCAUCAAAACCUAAAAUUUAUCCACAAGAUCCUCCUAACACUACAGACCCCGAUGAUAGCAUCAAACAGGUUAAAGAGGAUGAUCACAAGUUAAUUGAUAUGAAUUGGAAUAAUAUUAAGAAUAUCUCUGAUGAGAAAUUUGAGCAGCUGAUUGAUUCUUUACCUUCUAAUACACAUCUGGAAGUAUUAUCACUUUCCAAUGUUGGUCUAACAGAUCGUUUGGCCUUGCAAUUAGCCAAAGCAUUAGAACAAAACAACACAUUGCGAGUAGUCAAUGUUGAAACCAACUUUAUAUCUCCACCUGUGAUUGUUACAUUGGUUAAAUCACUGCUGAAAACUAAGAGUGUGGAGGAAUUCAGAGCAUCUAACCAAAGGGCAUCUGUUCUUGGCAAUAAGAUAGAGAUGGAAAUUACAGAUUUAGUUGAGAAAAAUCCAACACUACUUCGUCUUGGUCUCCACUUGGAAUACAAUGAUGCUAGGCAUCGCAUUUCAGCACAUUUGCAAAGGAACAUUGACAGGAUAAGAGUGUCUCGCCAAAACCAGCGCACGUAGUUCUAAAAUAUCUAAACCUAUAUGUAAAACAAAGAAUUGUGAAAUUGCCGCUAGAUUUCAUCCAACCAAACAAUCGCAUGCGCAGGAUGGGACUAUUCUCUCGCAACUAUUUAAUUUGCUAAAUAAAAAGUAUAAUAAAUUGUUUAAACAUCUUAUUAUACUGUGCUACAAUGGAACUGCCACCACAUAACAUUUUAUACUUAUACAAAUAUUUUGCACAAUUGUUUGUUAAUGUACGUUGUACAUUUUUCAUACUUUGGAAACAUUUAGGGUUAAUUUAACACACAAUUGAUAUAAUUUAUUCAAAAGGAUAAAGUUUUACAGAUUAAUUUCAAUGUUUUUAUGAGCAUAUUAUUCUUGUUAACAUUUCAAAUUUUCGCUUUGCUUGAAAUAUUUGUAGCUAUUUGUGAUCUUGGGCUCGAAGUUGAAAUUUUAUAAUAGGAUAUAGAAUGCUCUACUAGCUUUAUAUAUUAGAUGUAUUAAAACAAUAUUGCUUGUUUCGUAAACAGAAUUAUUUGACCGGGUGCCUUUUGUAUAAAACAACGCACAUGCUCAUAGAUUUCUUUUAUUGAAGGAUAAUAUUUUAUUUAAUGUUUUCUAGCUUUUGUCUAUUUUAUAUAACGAGAUGUUAUUUUCGAGCUAAAAUGCAUAAAUUUAACAAAGUAUGACCCAAACUGCUUUUGGCGUUAGA